rnacentral:lncRNA from 1 species
GUCUUGAUCGCGUAGAAACAGUUGAUGGUUGUAGGAUUAGCUUUGUUAAUCAUCAUGACAAAAGCAAGGGGUUACUUUCACUCUGAACGAUGGUACCAUCGAAUGUUCAUGUAGGGGGUUCACACGCAUUGGGUACCUGUGUAGGCACAUUUUUUGUGUCUUUAGGAACAUGAAUAUUGAUGUCAUCCCAGACCAGUAUGUUGCAUCGCGCUGGAGGCAUGAUGUACUACCACCUAAA